UUUUAUCAAUCGAACAACAUUACAUUUCAAGUUGCCGGCUGAAUCGCACGCCAAGUACAUUUGAAGAGUUAAUAAAUAGAAAGAAUCAAUCAUGAUUCGCGUUGUAAUUAUAUUAUUGCAUUUCUCGAUCGCAUUGACUAUUGAGAGACCACAGUAUGAAAUGAUUGAAGGUACUCCGUAUGAAAUUUGCUACGGAUUCAUACAGUGGAUAAGAUUUUUGGAAACGUCAGACCAUGCUCCACAACAGGUAACCGUCAUAAAACUUCAUAACGAAGAAUUUUCACACUACACCAACGUUGCACAACAUCGAAAUUGGCUACUGCAUGCUUAUUACUACAGUUUGGAAGUGCAAUUAUUAACCAAUUCUUGUAGCAACUCCGAAGAUAGAGGCUUCGCAGCAUUCAGAAUAUACAGAGAAAAAGAAUCAUAAACAUAAGUCCCCAUUAAAUAUUAUGAAACAAAAAUGUGUUUAACAUUUUACUCUAAUACAGCAAUAUUCAUGUAAAUAAAAAAAAAUUGUUUGUAUUAUUGACAUAACGUA